CAGCUGUCCCGCCGCUAAGUCAGAAUAAAGAGGCUGGUUAAUGAUGUAUAACGAAUUCACUGAAUGCACCGUGGAGAGACGAAGCUUUCUGCUUCUGAAGUACUGAAGACUCCAAACACCUGAGAGAAAGAAAAAAAGACCUGUUUGUGAAGGCCAGUGGCUGCGCUGGAGUCCAGUAAUGAACAAUUACCCACAU
ensembl:processed_transcript